GGAGAGGUGGCAGAGCUGGUUGAAUGCGGCAGACUCGAAAUCUGUUAUGGCGGCAACGUCAUCGGGGGUUCGAAUCCCCCCCUCUCCG
rnacentral:tRNA from 1 species